rnacentral:rRNA from 1 species
AACGAACGCUGGCGGCGUGCCUAACACAUGCAAGUCGAGCGCGAAAAGGGCAACCUGAGUAGAGCGGCGCACGGGUGCGUAACACGUGGGUAAUCUGCCUCAAAGUUUAGGAUAACCUUCCGAAAGGUUGGCUAAUACUACUGAAGCUCACAAGGUCUUCGGACCAAGGGAGAAAAGUUGGCCUCUGUUUACAUGCUAACGCUUUGAGAUGAGCCCGCGGCCCAUCAGCUAGUUGGUGAGGUAAUGGCUCACCAAGGCUACGACGGGUAG